CCUACGGGAGGCAGCAGUGGGGAAUAUUGCACAAUGGGGGAAACCCUGAUGCAGCGACGCCGCGUGAGUGAAGAAGUGCCCCGGCACGUAAAGCUCUAUCAGCAGGGAAGAAAAAAGUCCUUCGGACUUUGGACGGUACCUGACCAAGAAGCCCCGGCUAACUACGUGCCAGCAGCCGCGGUAAUACGUAGGGGGCAAGCGUUAUCCGGAUUUACUGGGUGUAAAGGGAGCGUAGACGGCAGCGCAAGUCUGGAGUGAAAUCCCGGGGCUCAACCCCGGAACUGCUUUGGAAACUGCGCGGCUCGAGUGCAGGAGGGGCAGGCGGAAUUCCUAGUGUAGCGGUGAAAUGCGUAGAUAUUAGGAGGAACACCAGUGGCGAAGGCGGCCUGCUGGACUGUAACUGACGUUGAGGCUCGAAAGCGUGGGGAGCAAACAGGA
rnacentral:rRNA from 1 species